rnacentral:rRNA from 1 species
UACGUAGGUGGCGAGCGUUGUCCGGAUUUACUGGGCGUAAAGAGCGCGCAGGCGGUCGUGCAAGUCGCGUGUGAAAGCCCCCGGCUCAACUGGGGAGGGUCACGCGAUACUGCUCGACUCGAAGGCAGGAGAGGGAAGCGGAAUUCCCGGUGUAGUGGUGAAAUGCGUAGAUAUCGGGAGGAACACCAGUGGCGAAGGCGGCUUCCUGGCCUGUUCUUGACGCUGAGGCGCGAAAGCUAGGGGAGCAAACGGG